GCCCGCAUAGCUCAAUAGCAGAGUCGCCGACCGAUAAUCGGCAGACCGGGGUGCAAAUCCCCGUGUGGGCACCA
rnacentral:tRNA from 1 species